UACAGAGGGUGCGAGCGUUAUUCGGAAUUAUUGGGCGUAAAGGGCGCGUAGGCGGCCAUUCAAGUGACGGGUGAAAGCCCUCGGCUUAACCGAGGAACUGCCUGUCAGACUGGAUGGCUCGAGACCGGGAGAGGUGAGUGGAAUUCCCAGUGUAGCGGUGAAAUGCGUAGAUAUUGGGAGGAACACCAGUGGCGAAGGCGGCUCACUGGACCGGAACUGACGCUGAUGCGCGAAAGCGUGGGGAGCAAACAGG
rnacentral:rRNA from 1 species